AACCAAAAAAAUCUCUUAGAUCACAUCAGAAUUCAGAACCAACAAAAAAGAACCUGGAAAAUGAAUAUUCAGUUGCUAAACAAGCUCGAUAUAUGCCAUCGGUGCAUUGUCCCCUCGCCUUGGUAGAGUUCUUAUUAUUCUAGUGUAUCCUCCAUUCCUCUCUCCAUAUCUUUCGGGAACUUCAGCAAACAAUGCAUGCACUAUCUGCUUCUCAUAGAUGAACCCAAGAGCUUGCCUUCUCUUAUGAAGAGAGCCAUCCUUCGCCAUUGUGACCAUUUUGUCUACAUAUUUUCUCACCGCCCUGGCCCUCGCUUUAGUGGUCUUUAUACGCCCAUGCUUGAGGAGCUGAGUUGUGAGACCUCUCAGAAGUGCUCGGCGCUGAUCAGGAGGUCUAUUCAGUUUGGGCACCUUCCUGCCAUGUCUCAUGGCAAAAACUCGGCCACCACUAUCAAUAAUGGUGAAUGAGUCCUCAAAACUUUUUGAGUCUGCAAUAUAAAUUAAAGGUAUACUUAUGGUAGAGCAAUAUAUUCACACACAAGUUUGAUCAUUGAGUAAUGUGAACUCAAAAUUAUAGGCAAACUUGAUCAAAGAUAAUAAAACAACAAAUUUGGUAUAAAACAACACUAUUAGGAGAGUCAUAAAUCAAGAGCUCAAUCAUAUGCUGCAGACUGACAGGGAAGGAUGUUCACAGACUAAACUCUAGCAGUAGAAAUGCAAUACCCGCUGAACUAUGUAUAGGAGCUAAUCAAGAAUUCUCUAUUAUAGAGUGAUACCAACCACUAUACAUAGGACUCCACAACUCCCACCAAGGGUAGAGCUACAAGCCUGUCAACAGUCCAAUGCACUAAGCUCGCAAUAUGCGGGGUACAAGGAAGGGCUCUGAAUCACAAGGGUCAUUAUACGCUGCCUUACUCUGCAUUUCUGCAGGAAGCUAUUUCCACAGCUUGAACCCGUGACUUCCGGGUCACACAUCAAAACUUUACCGGUUACACCAAGGCUACCCUUCGUACUCGUGCUUGCAUUUGUGGUUAAAAAUUCAGUCAGGUGUUAGUGUGUACAGAAAAAAAAACUGUCUUAUAAGAAACUAGAAUCCAUAAACUGAAUAUCAUAGCUCCGCCUAACUUCCCACCCCUAUACACCACAAUUAACAAGAAGGGGCUUAAAAAAAAAGGAAAAUUGGGUUUCCUUACACUAAAAGAUGCAAACUUUUGUUCAAACACAGACAAUGCAACAUCAAAGAAAUUACAUAUACUAAGUAACACCAAUUGGAGUAAAACGUAAAAUAGUGGUUUGAAAUCUUGAAAAAAACAUAUUUUUUGCACGAAUCUUAAUCAGAAAAAAUGCUACCUUGAGAAGAAAGGGACAAAAGUGGAUGCAGGGGAGCAAGACCCACGAAGGACUGAAUAAUUGUUGAACUGGACUUGGGUUUGCAAAUCCUGAGACGAGAUGGAGAAGACCCAGAAGAGAAUCUAAGUGAUGAGUUUGAAAUUGGUUGAACUGUAGGGAGAGCCGAUUUCAAGCAAGACAUGCUCCAAGUUGCAGAAGCCAUAUCUUUCUAACUUUGAUUUCUUGCUUCUCUGCUUAUGUUCCGAAUGAGCUGUGGGUUUAUCUGAAUGGAUAAGUGAACUUUUAGUACCCCAACUCUACUCUAUAUUUUUCCUUUGGCCCUCUAACUUUUGUUUCUGUCAUUUCGACUUUCUUACCUUUUUCUUUUUAAGCAACCUGUCAUAGUUUUUUUCAGGAGAUAGAUAUAUUGUUUCCGAUAGAUCCUCCCUCAGUAUAAGGAAUUUUUUCAUCUAUCACAAUACUUUUUCUACCCUGUUUUCUUCGAAAUUACUUUUCGACUUAAAGCAAAAAAAGUAAGUUAAAAUGUGUGUAGUAGAUAUUCUUAUGUGUUACCGGUUAAAAGUGUGUUAACAAAGAGGCUGAGGUUACAAAAUGUUAUAUCAAGUAGAUGCCUAAUGGGCCAUAAAAGAGCUAAGAAGACAAUAUAGUCAAGAUUUCACGUAUUUGACAUUUGAGUUUCACUUUCUAUAUACUGAUGGUGUAAAAUAAGCUUUGCAAUGUCAUGUUUGAUUGCAGCAAUUUCCAUGAAAACAACUAUAUUUGAUACAAUAUGCAGAGGUCAACAACUAAAUGCUUGAAACAUAUCAAAGGUGACCAACCAAAUAAACAGUAACUGCAAAUUAAAAUUGAAUGGAAUAAUUGGUGAAACUAACAAAAUCUCUUAGUUCUCAUCAGAAUUAAGAACCAACCAAAAAUAUCCUUCGAAAUGAAUAUUCAGUUGCUAUACAAGCUCAAUGUAUGCCAUUGGUGCAUUGUCCCCUCGCCUAGGUAGAGUUCUUAUUAUCCUAGUGUAUCCUCCGUUCCUCUCUCCAUAUCUUUCCGGGACUUCAGCAAACAAUGCAUGCACUAUUUGCUUCUCAUAAAUGAAUCCAAGAGCUUGCCUUC
rnacentral:lncRNA from 1 species